AACCUUACCGGUGGAUCACCUCGGCUCGUAGGGAAGGGUUUUGAUUACGCCCCUGCCCUUGGAAAGGCCCCACCUAAAACCAA
rnacentral:rRNA from 1 species